rnacentral:rRNA from 1 species
CCAGACUCCUACGGGAGGCAGCAGUGGGGAAUAUUGCACAAUGGGCGCAAGCCUGAUGCAGCCAUGCCGCGUGUAUGAAGAAGGCCUUCGGGUUGUAAAGUACUUUCAGUCGGGAGGAAGGUGGUAAGGUUAAUAACCUUAUCAAUUGACGUUACCGACAGAAGAAGCACCGGCUAACUCCGUGCCAGCAGCCGCGGUAAUACGGAGGGUGCAAGCGUUAAUCGGAAUUACUGGGCGUAAAGCGCACGCAGGCGGUCUGUCAAGUCGGAUGUGAAGUCCCCGGGCUCAACCUGGGAACUGCAUUCGAAACUGGCAGGCUGGAGUCUUGUAGAGGGGGGUAGAAUUCCAGGUGUAGCGGUGAAAUGCGUAGAGAUCUGGAGGAAUACCGGUGGCGAAGGCGGCCCCCUGGACAAAGACUGACGCUCAGGUGCGAAAGCGUGGGGAGCAAACAGGAUUAGAUACCCCUGUAAC